rnacentral:rRNA from 1 species
AUGCAGGUGCAUCAUUCGGAUCUGCAUACAAAUUCUAUCCAAAUUGGUUGGUUCUAUGUUUCUGCACGCAUAAAAAUGAGGCAGAGCAUGAUUAAAACAUGGAAUCAAUUAAAAUACAUUACCAUCAAUUAUAGUAAAAUUGUAUUUGAGAUCAAAGAACAAAAAAGGACGAACAGACUAUCAGAGACAACUGCUGGUUCACCAGUCGAGGGGUGGUGGAGAUGGUGGGCACACCCUACAGCCUCCAUGCAACCUGGUGAUGCAGCGGUGGAGAUGGCGGGCACAACCACCUUCUACUGUCUGGCAAGGAUGCCACACGGACGAGGUCGCCGGGGCCGCAUUGUGGAGCAGGUCAUGCAUGAGUUUCGAUUUGGAUCUGGGCCAUGCGGUGGAUAG